rfam:Solanum lycopersicum cultivar Heinz 1706 chromosome 4, whole genome shotgun sequence.
GGUCCAUGAUGAUAAAUUCAAAGGCUUGUUUCUCAAAACAUUCGCAGUGGCCGCCUAAGUGCUUUCGCCUUCGCCAGGCUUGAGAGUAUAUGCUGCUUUUAUCCUUGGAUGUCUGAGACC